AAACUCAAAGGAAUUGACGGGGACCCGCACAAGCGGUGGAGCAUGUGGUUUAAUUCGAAGCAACGCGAAGAACCUUACCAAGUCUUGACAUCCCGAUGACCGUCCCGUAACGGGGGCUUCUCUUCGGAGCAUCGGUGACAGGUGGUGCAUGGUUGUCGUCAGCUCGUGUCGUGAGAUGUUGGGUUAAGUCCCGCAACGAGCGCAACCCUUAUCUUUAGUAGCCAGCGGUACGGCCGGGCACUCUAGAGAGACUGCCAGGGAUAACCUGGAGGAAGGUGGGGAUGACGUCAAAUCAUCAUGCCCCUUAUGACUUGGGCUACACACGUGCUACAAUGGCGUAAACAAAGGGAAGCGAAACUGUGAAGUCUAGCAAAUCUCAAAAAAAAAA
rnacentral:rRNA from 1 species